AUCAAAUUGAAGAUGCGUCCGACAAAUGAGCUUAGAGCUGGCAAGAUGGCAAAGAGGAUUUUUGGCAGGAAGAUUUUAGCAUCAGAUCUCAAGAGCCGCCACAGUGGUCAAGACAGAUAAAAGGAUCAACAGAAUUGCCAUCGAGUUUAGUGAGGACGAAACUGCAGAAACAAGCUCUCCAUGGACUGAAGAUCUUUAAUGUCAAACAUGGUAGAAUUCUGGCAAAGGCCUCGUAUUUCAGAUCCGGAUGAAAGAGGUCGCAACCGCAGGAAGUACA